rnacentral:tRNA from 1 species
GAGAGUAUAGCUCAGUGGUAGAGUACUUGCUUAGCAUGCACAAGGUCUUGGGUUCAGUCCCUAGUACCUCCA